rnacentral:rRNA from 1 species
UACGAAGGGUGCAAGCGUUAAUCGGAAUUACUGGGCGUAAAGGGUGCGUAGGCGGUUGUUUAAGUCUGUCGUGAAAUCCCCGGGCUCAACCUGGGAAUGGCGAUGGAUACUGGGCAGCUAGAGUGUGUCAGAGGAUGGUGGAACUCCCGGUGUAGCGGUGAAAUGCGUAGAGAUCGGGAGGAACAUCAGUGGCGAAGGCGGCCAUCUGGGACAACACUGACGCUGAAGCACGAAAGCGUGGGGAGCAAACAGG